rnacentral:rRNA from 1 species
GUGAGGAAUUUUCCGCAAUGGGCGAAAGCCUGACGGAGCAAUGCCGCGUGAAGGAUGAAGGCCUAUGGGUUGUAAACUUCUUUUCUCAGAAAAGAAUUAUGACGGUAUCUGAGGAAUAAGCAUCGGCUAACUCUGUGCCAGCAGCCGCGGUAAGACAGAGGAUGCAAGCGUUAUACGGAAUGAUUGGGCGUAAAGCGUCUGUAGGUUGUUUAAAAAGUAUUCUGUCAAAGAUUAGGGCUAAACCCUAGAUAGGCAGAAUAAACUUUUAAGCUAGAGUUUGGUAGAGGCAGAGGGAAUGCCCGGUGGAGCGGUGAAAUGCGUAGAUAUCGGGAGGAACACCAAAGGCGAAGGCACUCUGCUGGGCCAAUACUAACACUGAGAGACGAAAGCGAGGGGAGCAAAUGGGAUUAGAAACCCGUGUAGUCC